AGAGUGGAGGUACACUUCUUUAGCACAUAGAAUUUACCUUCAAAAUCCUACUCCUGUGACACCUACAAAUGUUGGUUGGUGUACACACUGUGGGACUGUAUUCACGAUUACACCAAGGGGAAUAUGCAAAUAAUCUCCUGAAGUCAUGACUAAAAAGAAGUUUAAUGUUUAAUGUUAAAAGAAGUUUAAAGUUUAAACUUUAAUGUUAGUGCACCGUAAAUGAGAGAACAACAAUUUGCCAGUAGAACAGCCAGAAAAAGCCACAGCAAAAGCAGUAAGAAAUCAUGAGAAACGGUAUCUUCAGUCAAGAGGUGAAAGGAGAUGGUAUACUGAUGAAGAAAAAAUACAGAAAUGUUGUCUUACAUCCUGAGGGCUGCAGCAGUAACAGUAAGUCACUGGGGCAGAGAUUAAAUGAGAAAGAAGACCCAAUGCUAACGGAGAAAAUGAAAGAAAAAUCAGCCUUAUGAAUGGGUGUUGUCAUGUAUUAAACCAGUAUCCAUCUGACUUGAUAGAAACAAUUGCUUAAAAACACUGCCAAAGGAAGCUGAAGCCAUACAAGAAGGUUGUGGAGGUGUAGUGAUGCAUGAUCCAACAAGGUACACAGGAAUGAUCUGAAACACUUACUACUUCUCUUUUUAUCUUAACAGCAUUGCAGGAGGCUCUCAGCAUGCAGCUACUACCAUCUAGCUAAAUCCUUUCAACUAGGAGCAUCGUCUUCAAAAUAUUACCUCUUUUCCCAACAUAGCCAAGUGUGAAAGAGCAGACAGAGCCAUGUUAUUAAAAAUCACAGGAAGCCCUGAUUGAAUGAAU